CCUUCGGAAUUUGAAGCU
rnacentral:snRNA from 1 species